GUUUUGUAAUUCUUUCGCUUCUAU
rnacentral:sRNA from 1 species